rnacentral:rRNA from 1 species
GAUGAACGCUGGCGGCGUGCCUAAUACAUGCAAGUCGAGCGAACAGACGAGGAGCUUGCUCCUCUGACGUUAGCGGCGGACGGGUGAGUAACACGUGGAUAACCUACCUAUAAGACUGGGAUAACUUCGGGAAACCGGAGCUAAUACCGGAUAAUAUAUUGAACCGCAUGGUUCAAUAGUGAAAGACGGUUUUGCUGUCACUUAUAGAUGGAUCCGCGCCGCAUUAGCUAGUUGGUAAGGUAACGGCUUACCAAGGCAACGAUGCGUAGCCGACCUGAGAGGGUGAUCGGCCACACUGGAACUGAGACACGGUACAGACUCCUACGGGAGGCAGCAGUAGGGAAUCGGCCGCAAUGGGCGAAAGACUGAAGGAGCAACGCCGCGUGAGUGAUGAAGGUCUUCGGAUCGUAAAACUCUGUUAUUAGGGAAGAACAAAUGUGUAAGUAACUAUGCACGUCUUGACGGUACCUAAUCAGAAAGCCACGGCUAACUACGUG